rnacentral:rRNA from 1 species
GACGAACGCUGGCGGCGUGCUUAACACAUGCAAGUCGAACGGAAAGGCCCUGCUUUUGUGGGGUGCUCGAGUGGCGAACGGGUGAGUAACACGUGAGUAACCUGCCCUUGACUUUGGGAUAACUUCAGGAAACUGGGGCUAAUACCGGAUAGGAGCUCUUGCUGCAUGGUGGGGGUUGGAAAGUUUCGGCGGUUGGGGAUGGACUCGCGGCUUAUCAGCUUGUUGGUGGGGUAGUGGCUUACCAAGGCUUUGACGGGUAGCCGGCCUGAGAGGGUGACCGGCCACAUUGGGACUGAGAUACGGCCCAGACUCCUACGGGAGGAAGCAGUGGGGAAUAUUGCACAAUGGGCGGAAGCCUGAUGCAGCAACGCCGCGUGCGGGAUGACGGCCUUCGGGUUGUAAACCGCUUUCGCCUGUGACGAAGCGUGAGUGACGGUAAUGGGUAAAGAAGCACCGGCUAACUACGUGCCAGCAGCCGCGGUGAUACGUAGGGUGCGAGCGUUGUCCGGAUUUAUUGGGCGUAAAGGGCUCGUAGGUGGUUGAUCGCGUCGGAAGUGUAAUCUUGGGGCUUAACCCUGAGCGUGCUUUCGAUACGGGUUGACUUGAGGAAGGUAGGGGAGAAUGGAAUUCCUGGUGGAGCGGUGGAAUGCGCAGAUAUCAGGAGGAACACCAGUGGCGAAGGCGGUUCUCUGGGCCUUUCCUGACGCUGAGGAGCGAAAGCGUGGGGAGCGAACAGGCUUAGAUACCCUGGUAGUCCACGCUGUAAACGGUGGGUACUAGGUGUGGGGUCCAUUCCACGGGUUCCGUGCCGUAGCUAACGCUUUAAGUACCCCGCCUGGGGAGUACGGCCGCAAGGCUAAAACUCAAAGGAAUUGACGGGGCCCCGCACAAGCGGCGGAGCAUGCGGAUUAAUUCGAUGCAACGCGUAGAACCUUACCUGGGUUUGACAUGGAUCGGGAGCGCUCAGAGAUGGGUGUGCCUCUUUUGGGGUCGGUUCACAGGUGGUGCAUGGCUGUCGUCAGCUCGUGUCGUGAGAUGUUGGGUUAAGUCCCGCAACGAGCGCAACCCUUGUUCACUGUUGCCAGCACGUUAUGGUGGGGACUCAGUGGAGACCGCCGGGGUCAACUCGGAGGAAGGUGGGGAUGACGUCAAGUCAUCAUGCCCCUUAUGUCCAGGGCUUCACGCAUGCUACAAUGGCUGGUACAGAGAGUGGCGAGCCUGUGAGGGUGAGCGAAUCUCGGAAAGCCGGUCUCAGUUCGGAUUGGGGUCUGCAACUCGACCUCAUGAAGUCGGAGUCGCUAGUAAUCGCAGAUCAGCAACGCUGCGGUGAAUACGUUCCCGGG